rnacentral:lncRNA from 1 species
AGGAGCUUAGGAGACUAAAUGAGAGGUAGAGAGGAAAGAAUUUUAGAAGAAAAAGCAAAGAUUUUGGAGAGAUAAAUCAUCGAUUUGGAGAAGAGGGGUAGAAUCUAGGGCAAGCUCAAACCGCCCAAACGAGGAAGAAAGAGGAGAGGAAGUUGGUUCCUUAAUGGGCGAUUUGAAGGGUGAAGAUUGGUGGGAAGAGGGAUUUUGAGAGAAACCUUCAGUUUGAGAGA